rnacentral:lncRNA from 1 species
ACAGAUCGGAAGUGCAGAGGAAAAAGGAAAGCUAGCCUAAAGCUAAAGCUUUUACUAAACUUUCCAGCAGCGAUGGGCGUUAUUCUUUAAAAAAAAAUUCCCUACUCCUUAAAAUUCUACACCUGUGAGUCUUAAUUGUGAAUUCCGAGGGUUUCAAUUUGCCUUUCUCUUUCUCUCUCUCUCUCUCUCUCUCUCUCUCUAUCAAAUUUUCUCGAGCAAUCUCUUGCUCCCGAUUUUUUUAUGCGCUAUUCGAUAACAGAUUUGUUCACCCCCCCCUUUUUUUUUAUUUCCUUUCCAUUACGAAAUUGUUGUUUUCUUAUUUCCUCGACAAUUGGGUAAGUGCGGAUGAUUAAGGAGACAGAUUAGAUUUGGGUUAUAAAAAUUAUACAAAUAUACUUUAUUACAGGAUAAUGAUUUCGCUUCAUUCAUCAUUUGUUACAUACAUAUAUAUAGGUGUAUGUAUAAUGGGGUGCUUACCAUCAAUUAUUUUCGUACUAAAGCCUGUAUAUACAGGGUUAAUUGUAACGUAUAUUAUAUGUGAAAAAAGGAUGAAAAUAACACCCCGUCUAUCCAAUUUUAAAAAUUAAUCAUCACUCAACUCGCGUUUCUGAGCAUUCGAUAAAUUGCCUCAGUUUUUUUUUUUUUUUUAAAUUAUUUGCGAAAACCGUCCGAAUGAUUUACAAAUAAAAUUUUCUAUUGAACACUGUAACACCAGUUUAUAAUCCGAAGUUUCCCGCUUAUCAAUUUGACCCAAAAAUUCAUUUGACUAGAGCGGUAAAUUGGAAAUUACGCUUUUCGGAGCUGAGAAAAG